AGUGAACGCUGGCGGUAGGCCUAACACAUGCAAGUCGAACGGCAGCACAGUAAGAGCUUGCUCUUACGGGUGGCGAGUGGCGGACGGGUGAGGAAUACAUCGGAAUCUACUUUUUCGUGGGGGAUAACGUAGGGGAACUUACGCUAAUACCGCAUACGUCCUACGGGUGAAAGCAGGGGAUCUUCGGACCUUGCGCGAUUGAAUGAGCCGAUGUCGGAUUAGCUAGUUGGCGGGGUAAAGGCCCACCAAGGCGACGAUCCGUAGCUGGUCUGAGAGGAUGAUCAGCCACACUGGAACUGAGACACGGUCCAGACUCCUACGGGAGGCAGCAGUGGGGAAUAUUGGACAAUGGGCGCAAGCCUGAUCCAGCCAUACCGCGUGGGUGAAGAAGGCCUUCGGGUUGUAAAGCCCUUUUGUUGGGAAAGAAAAGCAGCAGGUUAAUACCCCGCUGUUCUGACGGUACCCAAAGAAUAAGCACCGGCUAACUUCGUG
rnacentral:rRNA from 1 species